GUUUUAUUAUUAUUCCCAUACCUUAAGUUUUCCCUCAUUCUAUUCCACAGACGCCUCCCUCCGUCACUGCGUCUCUCACUUCACUCCAUUUCCAGGUCUAGUCAUCGGUCCACUUCUGCAGCCCACGCUCAAUUACUCUUGCGAGGCUAUAUUGAACUUCAUAAAAGAAGAUGGCUCCUCAAGGUAAAGAUGGUCCAGCGGGUACUGCAGCGGAGAAGGGUAAAACAAGAAAGAAAACAAAAGUUUCUAGUAACUUAGGAAAAUGCUAAAGGAAGACCAGUUACUCAUGAUGAGGUAUUUGAGGAAACCCACAUGAAGAAGUUGAAGGAUGGAACAAAAACGACUUGGAUCGAGCCGCGCGCCGAGACAACCCAUGACAAUUUCAAACAAAUCUUGGAGGAGUUCAUUCAAAGCUAGCCGAUUGAUGAUCAAGGUAGGCCAAUCCAACCAACCCAGGAGGAGAUCAUGGAUACGUGGAUUAAGGCAGCUAGUGGCGUGCAUAAGGGGAGAGUCUACGGCCUUGGAUCAGAGUUUAGUCUCGGCCGUCGUACUUCUGGAUUGUCUGGUUCUUAUUCUUCGUCACAUUGCUCGGUUGAUCUAGAUGAGUUUGAGCAAUUGAAUAGGAAGGUAGCGAAGAUUACGGAGUUGUAUCUUCAAGAAAGGGCUGCAAGGGAAGAUGCAUUAAGACUUGUCACUCGUGUGUUAAAAGUCUCAAGUGUCAGAUAAACUCCCUCUUAGCAUCUGGCGCAUUUCCUGUGCCUCGUUCUCCAGCAUCUGAUGAUAACUAAGGAGUAGUUUCUUUUAUUAGUUUGUUUUGGAUGGUACUUGGAUGUUGAAUAUUCAAUGUUGGAUUUUUUGAGUUUUUGUUCUACUUUUGGAUUAAUUAUGAAAUGGAUUGAUUAGUUGUUUAUAAAAUGAAUUGGAUGGCAUGUUGAAUUAGGUAUUUGAA